GGGACGUAUUUGUUCUCAAGGCUGCCUUGUGUCCUGGGCACCCACUGGGGUCCUGGAAAGCAGCCACUCCUCUCCUGACAUCGUUUUGAAAUAGCCUGGGCGAUUUGGACUCUUCAGCCACAAAAUGCAAGAGUACACCGAAUUCAGCUGAAAUAUCCCCAUGUGAGUGAAAGUGUGAAUGCCUUCCAGAAUUUCUCCCAGAACUUGUACCUAGAGUUCAGGUGAAGUGAAAGGGUAGAAAGUAAAUUCUUUUUUGUUGUUAUUGUUGUUGUUGUUAAUCCUCACCCAAGGAUAUUUUUCCAUUGAUUUUUAGAGAGUGGAAGGGAGGAGAGAGACACACAGAGAGAAACAUGGAGGUGAGAGAGAGACAUCAAUUGUUUGCCUCCCACAUGAGCCCUGACCAGGGCCGGGGAUCAAGCCUGCAACUUGAUCCGUGCCAGUGACUGGAAUCAAACGCAGGACCCUUCAGUCCGAGGGCCAACAUUCUAUCCACCGAGCCAAACUGGCUAGGAGGAAAGUAAGUCCUCCUGACAUGAAUCACACCACCACCCUUCCCGCACUUCAGAUUUCGACCUCUACCCUACCUAGACGCGGCAGUCCUUGGAAAAACCCAGAACAGAAACUUCCCUGCCAAGUGAAGAGUUGCUCACUGGAGUGGCUUCAGGAAAUGCAAAUCGAAUGUCUGUAGCGGUAUUUAAAGACAGGAA